UCCUGUAUCGAAAAUGAUCAUGGCGUGUGUGUCGCCAGGUUAUUGAUAAAACAGGAAGAGAAAACUGCGAGCCUUUCCCGUGUCUGCAGGACCACCACUUCCUGUUUGACCCUGGCGCUUGCAGACA